GUGGCGGUGGAGGAGGAGGAUGAGGUAGCCAACAUUGUUUAUAUAUAUAUAUAUAUAUAUAUAUAUAUAUUUUAAUUGGGGUAGCCCCCAAAAUAUUGGGACAUAUAAAAAAAGACAACUCUGUUCUACACAGUAGCUGUUGCCAUUAUAGUUGCACAGGAACUUUGUUGACUCUAGAGAACCUCGGGCAAAUCGUACAUCCCUGUGGCGGCGGCUUUGCAUGCAGAUGUCAUCCAUAUCAACUUUCAAUGCCAGUUUCGGCGCCUACCAUGGUGACCACGGGUAACAGGGAAUCAGGAUUCCAUUCCAUACAGGGACCCUGAGAAAUGGCUACCACAUGCAAGGAAGGC